rfam:Camelus ferus unplaced genomic scaffold scaffold602, whole genome shotgun sequence.
AGCUUUGCACAGUGGCGGUAUGGUAGCCAGGGAGGUUUAUCCGAGGCGCGAUUAUUGCUAAUUGAAAAUUUUUCCCAUAAAGCAGAAAAAGCUAAAAAUCUACAUGAUUCAUGAAGACAAAUGUCUCCCCCAAAUCAAUAAUGAACAUUUUCUUUAAUGAUUUUAAAUGGUUAAACUA